rnacentral:lncRNA from 1 species
GCUUUAUUGGAGAUACGGGUACCUGGGCGACUUAGCUUCUGUGAGGCCAAGCUCCCCGAGCCAAGGGAAAGGGGUCCUUAUAUAGGGAAAAAGGCGCAAGCUAGAAGCAGGGAUUCUAUUGGAUAAUUCUAAUGAGGCAUUGUACAGAGCUAUUCCCAUUGGUCAAUGUAAAUGAGGCGCUAUACAGGGUUAUUCAAAUGAGGCGAAGUAUAGAGUUAUUCAAAUGAGGUGAAACACAGAGUCUUUCAAAUGAGGCGAAAUACAGAAUCAUUUCUAUUGGAUGGUUCAAAUGAGACACAGAGCCAUUCCAGAUCAGCAUAUUCUCAAGGUCUGGUGUCUGGUACAACAGAUUCAAUUCCCUCCGUGUCCGGAUAGCUGACCUUGGGGCGGAGACCUUGGGACCGAGUGUUUCUCAGCAGGUGGGGGUGUGGGGGCGGGGCCCCGGGCCAGCCUAACUGGUGCUCUCGCCCUCGGGCCGGCCCACCUGGUGCUCGCCCUCGUGCCGGCCCCAGCCCCGAGGCGCGGUGCCAGGCGGGGCGGGCCGGGGGCGCGAGCCCUGCCGGGGUGAAGGCUUGGGAGGCCCCGGCAGCUCCGCGGCCCCCGUGUCCUUGGCCUUGGAGGCGGCUCCCCGCUCGCAGCUCCUGGACAAGCAGCACCGCUGCUCUCCCAGCUCAAGUUCCCCUUCCAGGCGCCGCCCGCGCUGCAUUCUCCAGCCCCUGGCCGAACCCUGGCCCUGCCCUGCUCAGUCCCGCCGCGCUGCCCUCGGUCAACUGCUCCUCCCGCCUGCUCCAGAGAGAACACCCAGCACCGGCACAGGCGGGAAAGACAGAGGGGCAGGGGGCAUGCAGAAGCAUUCCGAGCGGGUCUUUCACUAGCAACCCAGCGGCGAUAAAGACCAAACACAGGCAUUUUGUCAUCUUUAGAGAGCUCUCAGUUCCAUGUUGUAGAACUGGAGUCAUUUCUUUUUUAGCCAUCUUUUCUGCUGUUUCUUAACCAUCCUGCCAAUACCACGAGGGAACCAUUUUCCUCUUUGUUCUCCUCUCUCCUCUGGUUGAUUGCCCCAAAAUCCUGUCCUCCCUAGUUACUCAUCCCAGGUACAGGCCUAUUCAGAUGCUUAGGCCCACAGAGAUGCAAAUAGGAGGCAUAUUACCCUGAGGCCAUGGUAAACAAUAGUAGCCUUACUGGCAUUAACAAUACAAUAGUGGGCUGGAGCUUUCCAGUGUUCCUGUUUAGUGAAACCCAAGGCUGGAUCUCAAAAUAUUCCAUAGCAGAAUUAUUUUGGUUCCCCACAGAUUAACCCUAAAUCCAUCUUUACUUAAAAUUCACCAGUCUUUCUUGGCAACUGUGCCAGUAACCCAGCAAUUAUUGUCUUGGAACUUGGGAUCAGAGUCAAUCUCACUUUUGAAAGGUGCAAAGACUUGUAAGGUGUUAUUAAAGUUCUGGAUUACAUUCAUAACACUGAACAAGAUGUUAUAACCUGACUCUUGUCUAUCAUUGAGGAUGGAUAUUCACUUCCCUGGGAAACAGCACCCUUUUACAUUCUUCUGCCUUCCCUAGGGCCUCUUUAGAGACUGCCACAGUUCAGAAGUUGUCACCAACCAGGGCAAACCAUUUUGCCCAUGUUAAGAAAUAGUUGGGGGGGGAGGGGAGUUGAAGAAAUGACUCAGCAGUUAAGAGCACUGGCUUCUCUUCCAGAAGUCCUGAGUUCAGUUCAAUUCCCAGCAACCACAUGGUGGCUCACAACCCUCUAUAAUGGGAUCUGGUGCCCUCUUCAGGUGUGCAUGGAGACAAAUCACUCAUAUACAUACAUAUAUACUGAAGGGACCAGCUUCCCUUUUGGCAGCCAUAACGGCCGAACACAUGCUUCUAUGACCUUGUCCUAGACACUAGAAAGUCAGAUGCCUGCCUUGUGACAAGGAACCAAUCAGAAGUUAGCUGGUGGCGCUAUGCUUUAUGACUCUGGGUGUGCUUUACGGACAAGCACACAGCAAUGAUGUAGAGAGCAUAACAACCACCCUGGGAGGGCCUAUAACAACCAGUUGACCAAUCAACACAGGGCAAGCCCUCCAAGCCUGGAGGCACACCAAUCCUGAACCUGUGUGUACCCAUAGACAC